AGAGUUGAUCAUGGCUCAGAACGAACGGCUGGUGGCGUGUCUUAUACAUGCAAGUCGAGCGAGGCAGCAAUGCCGAGCGGCGAACGGGUGAGUAACGCGUAAGCAAUCUGCCCCAUAUCAGGAAAUACCCGUGCCAACGCGCGGUUAAUGUCCAGGAGAGUGGCCCUCUGCAUGGAGGGUUGACUAGAGAUUUAUCGGUAUGGGAUGAGCUUGCGUCCGAUUAGCUAGUUGGCGGGGCAACGGCCCACCAAGGCGACGAUCGGUAGCCGGCCUGAGAGGGUGAUCGGCCACAUUGGGACUGAGAUACGGCCCAGACUCCUACGGGAGGCAGCAGUAGGGAAUAUUGCACAAUGGGGGAAACCCUGAUGCAGCAACGCCACGUGUGGGAAGAAGCAUUUCGGUGUGUAAACCACUGUCAUGAGGGAAUAAGGCCCGCCUUCGGACGGACUUGAAUGUACCUUGAGAGGAAGCACCGGCAAACUUCGUGCCAGCCGCAGC
rnacentral:rRNA from 1 species